rnacentral:rRNA from 1 species
CUGAUGAGCAUGCCGCGUGAGUGAAGAAGGCUCUUCGGAUCUGAAGCUCUUUGCCUUGGAAGAAGCCUUGUGGAGAAUCUGCCCUGUAGGUUGACGGUACUUGCAAAAUAAGCCCCGGCUAACUCUGUGCCAGCAGCCGCGGUAAUACGGAGGGUGCAAGCGUUAAUCGGAAUUAUUGGGCGUAAAGGGCGCGUAGGCGGCGAUUUAAGUUUGAUGUGUAAUGCCGGGGCUCAACCCUGGAUCGCACCCAAAACUGGGCUGCUUGGGUGCUGGAAAAGGAGAGCGUAAUUUCCCGGUACCGGUGAAUAUGUAAGAUAUAUGUGAGGAACACCGGUGGCGAAGGCUGCUCUCUUGGCUGUCACUGACAUUCAGGGGUGAGGAAUGGGUAAAUCCGUGGUUAGGCCGCUCUAUACCGAACCGCAUAGUGGUUCGGGUAUCCCCCCCUACGAAUCUCUCACUCGGGCAAUCGUCCUUUCCGUCUGGCAACGACUUCUAUA